rnacentral:rRNA from 1 species
GACGAACGCUGGCGGCGUGCUUAACACAUGCAAGUCGAACGGAAAGGCCCUUCGGGGUACUCGAGUGGCGAACGGGUGAGUAACACGUGGGUGAUCUGCCCUGCACUUUGGGAUAAGCCUGGGAAACUGGGUCUAAUACCGAAUAGGACCACGCGCCUCAUGGUGUGUGGUGGAAAGCUUUUGCGGUGUGGGAUGGGCCCGCGGCCUAUCAGCUUGUUGGUGGGGUAAUGGCCUACCAAGGCGACGACGGGUAGCCGGCCUGAGAGGGUGACCGGCCACACUGGGACUGAGAUACGGCCCAGACUCCUACGGGAGGCAGCAGUGGGGAAUAUUGCACAAUGGGCGCAAGCCUGAUGCAGCGACGCCGCGUGAGGGAUGACGGCCUUCGGGUUGUAAACCUCUUUCAAUAGGGACGAAGCGCAAGUGACGGUACCUAUAGAAGAAGCACCGGCCAACUACGUGCCAGCAGCCGCGGUAAUACGUAGGGUGCGAGCGUUGUCCGGAAUUACUGGGCGUAAAGAGCUCGUAGGUGGUUUGUCGCGUUGUUCGUGAAAACUCACAGCUUAACUGUGGGCGUGCGGGCGAUACGGGCAGACUAGAGUACUGCAGGGGAGACUGGAAUUCCUGGUGUAGCGGUGGAAUGCGCAGAUAUCAGGAGGAACACCGGUGGCGAAGGCGGGUCUCUGGGCAGUAACUGACGCUGAGGAGCGAAAGCGUGGGGAGCGAACAGGAUUAGAUACCCUGGUAGUCCACGCCGUAAACGGUGGGUACUAGGUGUGGGUUCCUUCCUUGGGAUCCGUGCCGUAGCUAACGCAUUAAGUACCCCGCCUGGGGAGUACGGCCGCAAGGCUAAAACUCAAAGGAAUUGACGGGGGCCCGCACAAGCGGCGGAGCAUGUGGAUUAAUUCGAUGCAACGCGAAGAACCUUACCUGGGUUUGACAUGCACAGGACGCCGGCAGAGAUGUCGGUUCCCUUGUGGCCUGUGUGCAGGUGGUGCAUGGCUGUCGUCAGCUCGUGUCGUGAGAUGUUGGGUUAAGUCCCGCAACGAGCGCAACCCUUGUCCUAUGUUGCCAGCGGGUUAUGCCGGGGACUCGUAGGAGACUGCCGGGGUCAACUCGGAGGAAGGUGGGGAUGACGUCAAGUCAUCAUGCCCCUUAUGUCCAGGGCUUCACACAUGCUACAAUGGCCGGUACAAAGGGCUGCGAUGCCGUGAGGUGGAGCGAAUCCUUUCAAAGCCGGUCUCAGUUCGGAUCGGGGUCUGCAACUCGACCCCGUGAAGUCGGAGUCGCUAGUAAUCGCAGAUCAGCAACGCUGCGGUGAAUACGUUCCCGGGCCU